rnacentral:SRP_RNA from 1 species
GCCAGGCUGUCGGCGUGCGCCUGUAAUCCAGCUACUUGGAGGCCGGGAGGUGGAAGUUGCUGACUCCGGGAGUUCCGUCUCCUGUCUGCGCAUGUUGAUCGGGCGUCCAUGCUAAGCGCGGCGUCGAUAUGGAGGGCGAGGUGUCCAGAUCGUCUAAGGAGAGGUGCACCGGGCCAGGGGGAAACCCAGCAGCCAAAAGCCUCCGCGUGGCGCAGUAGCAGGAUAGCGCCUGUGAAUGGCGGGCUUGAGACGUCCCGGGGGGCACGUGACGACCUCCUCUUUU